rnacentral:rRNA from 1 species
CCUACGGGCGGCUGCAGUGGGGAAUAUUGCACAAUGGGGGAAACCCUGAUGCAGCGACGCCGCGUGAGUGAAGAAGUAUCUCGGUACGUAAAGCUCUAUCAGCAGGGAAGAAAAUGACGGUACCUGACUAAGAAGCCCCGGCUAACUACGUGCCAGCAGCCGCGGUAAUACGUAGGGGGCAAGCGUUAUCCGGAUUUACUGGGUGUAAAGGGAGCGUAGACGGGAGCACAAGUCUGGAGUGAAAGCCCGGGGCUUAACCCCGGAACUGCUUUGGAAACUGUGCGGCUGGAGUGCAGGAGGGGUAAGCGGAAGUCCUGGUGUAGCGGUGAAAUGCGUAGAUAUUAGGAAGAACACCGAUGGCGAAGGCGGCUUACUGGACUGUAACUGACGUUGAGGCUCGAAAGCGUGGGGAGCAAACAGGAUUAGAUACCCCUGUAGUC